rnacentral:rRNA from 1 species
AUUGAACGCUGGCGGCAUGCUUUACACAUGCAAGUCGAACGGUAACAGGUUAAGCUGACGAGUGGCGAACGGGUGAGUAAUGCAUCGGAACGUGCCCGAUCGUGGGGGAUAACGCAGCGAAAGCUGCGCUAAUACCGCAUACGAUCUGAGGAUGAAAGCGGGGGACCGUAAGGCCUCGCGCGAUCGGAGCGGCCGAUGUCAGAUUAGGUAGUUGGUGGGGUAAAGGCUCACCAAGCCAACGAUCUGUAGCUGGUCUGAGAGGACGACCAGCCACACUGGGACUGAGACACGGCCCAGACUCCUACGGGAGGCAGCAGUGGGGAAUUUUGGACAAUGGGCGAAAGCCUGAUCCAGCAAUGCCGCGUGCAGGAAGAAGGCCUUCGGGUUGUAAACCGCUUUUGUACGGAGCGAAAAGGCUCUCUCUAAUACAGGGGGCUCAUGACGGUACCGUAAGAAUAAGCACCGGCUAACUACGUGCCAGCCGCCGCCGUAA